UACGGUGGGGUGUUGCACUGAAUUCUGCUACAUCCUUUUCUCUUCUAUAUUUUUGGGCUCUGUUAAGGUUCCUCCAGCCCCUGGGGAUGUGCCUCUUCCAGGCACGCAUAGAUCUGGCUUGACCAAGUAGAGUUGGCUUGGACCCUUCUGAUUCAAUUGUGUUCCUAGGCUUUGAGUCAACUUGCGAGGAUUGCUGCAGCUCCAUUGUGAUCCUGGGAGCCUCCCAUACAAACCUACUUCUGAAUUUCCCCAUGAAGAACUGACGGAGGAGCAGACUUCUUCCCUCCUUUUCACAGCUGGGCAGGGGAAAGGACAUCCUUAG
rnacentral:lncRNA from 1 species